AGAGUUUGAUCAUGGCUCAGAGCGAACGCUGGCGGCAGGCUUAACACAUGCAAGUCGAACGCUCACCUUCGGGUGGGAGUGGCAGACGGGUGAGUAACACGUGGGAACGUACCCUUUGGUUCGGGACAACUCUGGGAAACUGGAGCUAAUACCGGAUACGCCCUUUUGGGGAAAGGUUUACUGCCGAAGGAUCGGCCCGCGUCUGAUUAGCUAGUUGGUGGGGUAACGGCCUACCAAGGCGACGAUCAGUAGCUGGUCUGAGAGGAUGAUCAGCCACACUGGGACUGAGACACGGCCCAGACUCCUACGGGAGGCAGCAGUGGGGAAUAUUGGACAAUGGGCGCAAGCCUGAUCCAGCCAUGCCGCGUGAGUGAUGAAGGCCUUAGGGUUGUAAAGCUCUUUUAUCCGGGACGAUAAUGACGGUACCGGAGGAAUAAGCCCCGGCUAACUUCGUGCCAGCAGCCGCGGUAAUUC
rnacentral:rRNA from 1 species